rnacentral:rRNA from 1 species
GACGUAGGGCGCGAGCGUUGUCCGGAUUUAUUGGGCGUAAAGAGCUCGUAGGCGGCUUGUUGCGUCGGCUGUGAAAUCUCGGAGCUUAACUCCGAAACUGCAUUCGAUACUGCCGUGCUUGAGGACUGGAGAGGAGACUGGAAUUUACGGUGUAGCGGUGAAAUGCGUAGAUAUCGUAAGGAAGACCAGUGGCGAAGGCGGGUCUCUGGACAGUUCCUGACGCUGAAGCACGAAGGUCAGGGGAGCAAACGGG